rnacentral:misc_RNA from 1 species
GUGAGUCAUCGAAUCUUUGAACGCACAUUGCGCCUCCUGGUAUUCCGGGAGGCACGUCCGUUUGAGCGUCAGCUUAAUCCUUCCGGGCGGCGGUUUUCGUGCCGCUGCCCGGGCCUUUGGCGUGUGGAGGUGACCAUGGCGCUUCUGCGCCUCCGGUUUCCACCGCUUAAACGUGGAGAAAGCUAGCCGGCGAUGCCCCAACCGCAGUGACUUGUAGAAUUUCUAGUGUCGCAAUGCCCUUGGAAUUCCCGGCCUCUAAACAACAGAGGGACCCAGGUCCCAGACGUUUGACCUCAAAUCGGAUGAGGAUACCCGCUGAACUUAAGCAUAUCAAUAAGCGGAGGA